UGUCGGGCGUCAAUGGCCGAAACUCUGUUUGCAAAAGAGCGGCUCGUCGAACUGACACAGCUGGUGUCCAAUCAGACCCUGCAUAAAAAUCCAGCGCCCCUCAUCUCGCCAAUUAGAAGUGCGAUGAAGCAGGCUGAAGGAGAAAGAGGGGGGCAGUGAAAAGCUUAUUUACAAAGUAUCCUUGAAGAGUAAAGAUGUAGCCCUGCUUUUAAAAAUGCGGAGAAAGACAGACGAUUCGCCGUCCUUAGACCGUCGCUCUCGCCCUCGUCCCCUCCUUCAGGCAGAGCACCCGAAACAAAUGCAUUUCGCGGAAUCGUUUUUACAGAGAGGAGUGAGAGAAGUGCAGUUUGCAUGGGUGUAUGCAGGAUUGAGGAAAUCCAAGAAUGUGUGUCCAGGUUAAAGAGAGAUCCCAGGGAUGCACUCCAGAAGUGGCAUCUUUGCCAUCCUGGGAGAUAUGCAUUUACUGGCUGCUUUCCUUUGGCUCUCAUUUAUACUCUUUUAAGGAACUUCACAGAUUUUCCAAGGAAUACGAAGAAGGUCUGAUGAGGGAAUUUGAAUUUGAAAAAGGAUUUCUGAUUUGGGGAUUCAAGAAGGACCCAACAGACUUUGAAUGGAGUUUCUGGAAUGAAAGGGCUAGGAAAUCACUGCUUUGGUCUCUUCUGGGUCACGUGCUUGUCUCCAAGCUGGCUGGUUUCUUUGCUCCCAAGUGCAGGGCGGCUGUGCUCACGCUCUAUGGCCUGCUGGCCGCUUGGUGUCUCCUGGGCGGGAGAGGUCUGGCCGUGGUUGCGCUGCACAUGUGUGUGUCGUUCGGUGUGGCCCUGCUGAAGAGGCCCUGUCUCUGCUGGCUGUGCUCCCUGCUGCUGCUCUCGACCUUGCUCUUCGGCUCCCUGGAGGACAUGCAGAGGAGCUGGUAUAGGACAGAGAAUGAGUACUAUCUGCUGGUCUUCAGCCUGGCCAUCUCCUGUCUGCGUUACAUCAGCUUCAGCCUGGACUACUGCUGGCAGGCCUCAGAGGAGAAGAGCCUGGACUCCUUCUUCUGGCUGUCUGCCUAUGUCUUCUACCACCCCUUGUUUAGCAACGGACCCAUCAUGAAUUUUGGAGAGUUCACUCGACAGAUGCAGAAGCCACAUUCAAGAGUUGUCAGACUGGACACCUGGGCUGUGCUUGUGAGCCUCGCACGGCUGGUCGCCUGGUGGAUUCUAGCAGAGGCUAUGGUUUGCUUCAUGUACAUGCACGCUGUGCAAAGCAAUGAGACCUACUUGAAGAUCAUGCCAUCUUGGGCUUUAGGUGGCCUUGCCUUGGCCCAGGUGCUGUUCUUCUAUGUCAAGUAUCUGGUGCUGUUUGGGGUUCCUUCGCUCGUUGUUCGGCUGGAUGGCAUUGAGUCCCCGAAGCUGCCUCGGUGUGUCAGCACCAUGUACAGCUUCACUGGGAUGUGGAGGCACUUUGAUGUGGGACUGUACCGUUGGCUUGUCAGGUACAUCUAUGUCCCCCUAGGAGGGUCACACCACGGUGUUGUGCAGAAGACAGUGUCCACCGCCCUGGUCUUCGGGUUUGUUUGCUACUGGCAUGGUGGCCAUGACUACCUGGUGAUCUGGGCCCUCUUAAACUGGAUGGGAGUCAUAACGGAAAACGGAGUGAAGGCAUUCCUGUCCUUGCCCCCUGUUUAUACAUUUUUUGAGCAGUGCUUGUCGGCAGCGAUGAUGCGAAGAGGUCAAGCGUUCCUGUCGGCUUUCUGCACAGCCAUGCUCAUACUGUCCAACCUCGUUUUCCUUGGAGGAAGUCAUGUGGGGAAGAUACUCUGGCUCAGGAUUUUUGUCCAAGGUUGGCCUAAUGUAGCCGUUCCAGUCCUGGGGUUUCUGUAUUGCUUCACCCAGAUAGGAAUGGAGUGGGACAAGACACAUCAGUAACAUGAGCCGCAAAUAUGUCUGUCAAUUUUAUGUUUUAAUACAAAAUUGUUUUUUUUUUUAUAUCAACAAAGUCAGCAAACAGUACCGAAUACUGAAUAUCAAUAGUGAUUAUCCACUUUGCAAAUGUUGUACAUAUUCAUGUUUUAUGCACUGCACAGUUAAUUUGAUAUGACUGAAAGUGAAAAGAAAUAAAAGAAAAGUUACAAUAACCAAUAAAAAGAGUAAUUGAAUUAUUUGAAAACACAAACAUCCAUGGACAUACAUUUCAAUCACAAUCUUCUUCUUUGUAACCUUAUGCCCCAGGUCAGAUGUCCACAAAAGGCUUUAGUGAGAAAGAAGGUUAAGAGAAAGAUCCCAGGUGUCAAGUGAGACAAGUACAGAUGACAGAACAUGAAAAAGACCCUGUGGGACAGGUGACCACUCUGACAGGUGAGCACUAUCUGCCAACACCUGGCCUCCUAGAGCUACUCUCCAUUUGGGGUACAGAGUGAGACAGUACCGAUCUUUCUGAUGGAAUGAUAUAUGACGGUAAUAAUAGAUCUGAUACCAAAUGCUGCAAAAACAAGCAGGAGAAGGAGUGGGGAAAAAUCAAUGUUUUUAAUUUCAGUUUGGUCCAGACAUUAUUUUUGUGGAGCCUGCUGUUAUUGCAUUCGGCAUGUGGUGAUUUGUUUUGUGUCAUUUCGGAAUUAUUUACACCUGCGUACUGUAGGAUGGCUACAGACUGACUUACCUAAACGCUUUGCAGCUUCUCACUCGGCUCACAUAUCUGUUUCAUAAUUCUAAAAGGCUAAGAGCACCUGUGUGGCACUAAUCAGAUUAGAGAGCAGGUCAAAGAAAAAUCCCCUUUAAUUACUAUGGCUCCAAGCAAACUUACUUAUUCAAGCUGCUAAACACUGAGAGAAAAUAUGUUUUUCUCUCUACUGCAUGACCGUUUAAAUCGCUUUAACUCAAUUAGCCUUUUAUUGACAAUUUGUACCUUAAUAAUUUAUGCAAAAAUAACACUUGACAGAUGUAAUAUUAUGAUUUCUAAUGUUGUUCAUCAAUUAUUAUACAGCAGAUGCUUUCUAGAUUAUAAUAGAUUAUAAUAAAGGUGUAUAAAAAGUGUGGGUUUAUGAUUAUGAUGUAGGCAACAUAUGUAAAACCAUUCCAGCCGUCAGUGUUGAUUAAUUUACCCCUUGAUAAGGUCUUACUAGCUUUGUAUUGUGUAGCACUGCCCAGAGCUGGACAGCCAUUGGGUUCUAUUUAAAUUAUCCACAUGUGUUCAGAAGCAUUUCCCAAUAAACGUUCUUGUCCGCUUUGCUUUUUAGAGUAUUUACCAGAUUGUCGUACAGGUUCAAUAAUGUUAGUGUUUCUUUUCGCGGUAUUUAAAUAGUUUUAAACUUGACUUGUGGGUUACACAAAUUUUUGAGACACUUGGCAACUGCAGAGGGAAGAUUCUCAGGGGUACCCCAGCCCACUGCACUGAUUAGUUUUCAGGUUCAUUUAGAUUACACUGAGGUUACAGCAGGAAAAGAGAAAAUUCCUCAACAUUACAAUCAGGAAAGUUGGUGCUGGUGUCAUCUUAACAUUGUCUUGUUUAUUCCCCCAGUGACUUGCAACUACCAACUGUGUAACUCUGCUGGUAAUGAAUGUAUUAUCUGCUGUCCCUUUGAAAUUAAUUACGGUGAAUGUGAAGAGCAUGUACUGUAGGGAGUAAUGAAGUUCUAUUCAACUGUGCAGUUUAGAUUUAAAGACGGGUUCAAAUUAAAAUACACCAUUGCUUCUGCAAAAUGAGAUUGGUGAGGAUAUGAAAUAUAGUUACUUUUAAAUGUAAUUUAAACAAACAAAAGACCACAGAAGUUGGAUGGAUUAUCACAUUCCUGGAAGUGCCUGUAGGGAUAUUUCUAAUGAAAGUUAUUCUUUGGUUUAGUAUCAUGAUCUUCCGCAUGCUUGCAAAAUGUAAUUUUCUACGUAAUUUCUAUCCAUGAUUUCUACGGUUAACGAACAGAUGAGGGACGUGUGCUGGCACAGUGGCAAGACAGCCUAUGGAUUUAAAUCAGGCUCCAUAAUAAUAAAUGCUUUGUAAUAGACUAGCAUCCCACUUUAGGCAUCUGUGCCUGCUCACACUCCCAAGCAAUUACAGGUGAACUGAUCAUAAAACAAGGGUUAUAUAAGCUUGAACCCUUUAAGUUACUAUCUGAAGCCUCAUACUCCAGACUUGCAGUACAAAGACUAAGAUAGACUUAGAUAGAGCUGAAGUGGGAAUAUUGCAGUAUAUACUGCAGUCUGUAUACAUAUGUCUAUGUGUGCUCAUUUUAAAUUGAAAAUGAUAGUGUUGCAAUUAAAAUGUAGGAAUCAGAAUAGUUCAGUUCACUGUGUUUCACUGCAAUGUUUUUAUUUGUCUUAUUGUGCGUUUGAGGUAAGUAGUGACCAUUGAGAAGGCAUGCACUGAUGGAGAUCACUCUUUUAUUUUGUAAUUUGUUAAUCAUCUGCGUGUGUUUAUCACAUCAUGCAUGCUAAUAUUGCAUGACCUCUGACUUUACAGUAUUUGUGAAUAUAAUAUGAAUGGAGAUUCAUCUUUUGCAGUUGAGACAUGAAGUCGACAGAUGAAUCAGGCGUUGGGGCCCACACCAUGGUCCACUUCUGCCUUCUGCCUGGCUGCCAACCAGCACAAACCAACCAGGCCCUGAGCGUCAAGAGGUGAGCUGUCGAGAGAACGAUCUACAGCAGGAGUGGAUUAUCCUCAGGCUUUAUGAGACACCGGCCUGGAGAUUUCGAAAAGGUGCUGAGGCGAAGUGCGCGAUUUCCGAGAUUUGAGUAUUCUGAGCAUUUCGGCAAGCUGG